UUUGGAUGUAAAGUAAGUAAACUUGAGUAGUAUUAGUUAUAAGGUCUUGAAACUUAAAGAAUUUGGCGGUAUUUUAGUCCAUUUAGAGGAAUCUGUCUCGUAAUCGAUAAUCCACGUUGUACCUUACUUAAAUUAAUUUAAUAUGUAUAUCGCUGUUGAUGAAAAUCUUUUUAGGGUAGAUAAUUUUUGUAAUUUUUAUUAAAAAAUGUUUCAAGUCAAGGUGCAGUCUAUGUUUAAGAGAUGAUGGAUUACAAUAUUUUUCUAUAUAUGAAUUGUUGACUGAAUAAGGGUCAAUAUGAAGGUGGAUUUAAUAGUAAUAUUAUUGAGAAUAAUAGUAUGAUUAAAGGCUCUAAAAUAUGU
rnacentral:rRNA from 1 species